UUGACCUCGGAUCAGGUAGGGAUACCCGCUGAACUUAAGCAUAUCAAUAAGCGGAGGAAAAGAAACCAACAGGGAUUGCUCUAGUAACGGCGAGUGAAGCAGCAAUAGCUCAAAUUUGAAAUCUGGCGUCUUCGACGUCCGAGUUGUAAUUUGUAGAGGAUGCUUCUGAGUGGCCACCGACCUAAGUUCCUUGGAACAGGACGUCAUAGAGGGUGAGAAUCCCGUAUGCGGUCGGAAAGGCGCUCUAUACGUAGCUCCUUCGACGAGUCGAGUUGUUUGGGAAUGCAGCUCUAAAUGGGAGGUAAAUUUCUUCUAAAGCUAAAUAUUGGCCAGAGACCGAUAGCGCACAAGUAGAGUGAUCGAAAGAUGAAAAGCACUUUGGAAAGAGAGUUAAAAAGCACGUGAAAUUGUUAAAAGGGAAGGGAUUGCAACCAGACUUGCUCGCGGUGUUCCGCCGGUCUUCUGACCGGUCUACUCGCCGCGUUGCAGGCCAGCAUCGUCUGGUGCCGCUGGAUAAGACUUGAGGAAUGUAGCUCCCUCGGGAGUGUUAUAGCCUCUUGUGAUGCAGCGAGCGCCGGGCGAGGUCCGCGCUUCGGCUAGGAUGCUGGCGUAAUGGUCGUAAUCCGCCCGUCUUGAAACACGGACCAAGGAGUCUAACAUCUAUGCGAGUGUUCGGGUGUCAAACCCCUACGCGUAAUGAAAGUGAACGGAGGUGAGAACCGCAAGGUGCAUCAUCGACCGAUCCUGAUGUCUUCGGAUGGAUUUGAGUAAGAGCAUAGCUGUUGGGACCCGAAAGAUGGUGAACUAUGCCUGAAUAGGGUGAAGCCAGAGGAAACUCUGGUGGAGGCUCGCAGCGGUUCUGACGUGCAAAUCGAUCGUCAAAUUUGGGUAUAGGGGCGAAAGACUAAUCGAACCAU
rnacentral:rRNA from 1 species